rnacentral:lncRNA from 1 species
AUUAAAUCAAAUAGGAGUUAAUAAAGACAUAUAUGUCUUCUAUUUGUAACAUCUUUUAUUCUUUAUUAAAAUUGAUGUUUGUGGUUCAAAUUAGAGCUUGUUGGAGGGCUUCAUUAGUAACCUCAAGUUAAAAGGGAUGAGACAUCAAGUUCUUACAGUUUCGAUAUCUAGAUGAAAUUCCCUCAAAAUUUGUAUAAACAUCCACCGUGUUCUUUUAAAGAUUGUUGAGAGUAAUACAAAGAAAAGAAUAAAAUAACAAAUUGCCUUUUCCCUUUGUAACUAAGAAGCAAAGCCAUGUGGAUGCCAAAAGUAAUGCAACAAUUUGAAAAGAGUAAACAGGGCGGUUGAUUAGUUAACUUCCAUAAUUCCGCAACAUUUGAUUCAAAAGACUUUAGCUUUAUCAAUUACUUAACUACUACUCCGUAUGUGGAUAAAUUCUUGUACCAUCUGAAAAGGUAUAGAAGAUAGUUAUCCUCAUAAAUAGGUUGCCUAAUUAAUUAGGUGGAUCUUCAAUAAUUCAACAAGAUAGGGAUUUUAAAAUAUUUUUACUUUAUUAAUUCCUUAACUACUCCUUAAACAUCCUUUUUUCCCCUUUUUGUGAAAAGCUCUUUACCCUCAAUACAUAUGAUAUAUUCCGUUGCUAGGAACUUGGGUUUGAGUAUGUAUUAAUUACUAUUCUUAAUCAAAUUUAUUAUUGAAAAAUUAUUUUUAGUUAUGGUUUUUUUAAUAUACUUAUUACACAUUUAUCAUAUGUACUUGUUUAAUAUACUUCUAAUAUAUUUAUCAUUCAACAACAAAUACGAGAAAAGGUAUAAAAGACAAUUAAAUUACAAACUAAAUUGCCUUUAAUUUUUUUAUAGUUGAAGGCCUUCUUUUCCACCCCCAGUCUCCAAUAAAUUAGACUCUACAAAGCUUCUUCUAUGCUACUCUUUGAUUCUACUUCUAGUUCAAAGCCUUGGCACUCCACAUUAUCUUGCUAUUGCUAAGAGACAAUCCAAGAAUAUUGAAGAUAAUGAAGUUAGGUUGUUGUAGUAUAAUACCUGAGUCCUUCUCUAGUUGCAACUAUGGGACCGUACAUGAAGAAGCAUAACAUAUUUUUAAGGCCAAAUUAUUUACAAAUAAAGUGCAAUAACCAAAUAAAAAAUGAAUUUUGAUGAAUUAUGAUUAAGGGCGAAUUUAAUUUUCGUAAGGAAUUUUUUUUUUUUAAAUCCAUUUUAUCACAAUGAAAGGACCGAUGCAAAAAUUUAGUGCUUGUUUCUAUAUACUUAGUGUUAACUACUUUUAAAAAUGGAAAAUGAUUAUAACUUUUGUAUGAAAUGUAAAUUUUUAUUAGAAAAAUAUAUACUUCUAAACAAUUUUUUAAAAAUAAUAUAUUUUUAUUGUAAGUAUCAAAAAGCUCUUACAUUUUAUAUAAGAGUUGCUAGCUUUUUCCAUUUUAAAAAAAGAAACACGAAUUGUUCCAAGCACUACAUAGUUAUAAAAAAUAUUUAAUCUAAAAAAAAUUAUUUUUAGUAUAAAUUGAUUCAUUUAAAUUUUUUACAUCAAUUGUUUUACGAUAACAAAAUAAUUUAAGUAUCACACACAAAGUUAUGAAAAAAAAAUAUGAUAAUUUUAUUUCAGAUGAUUCACAAUAUUUCAAUGUUUUUUAAAAUAUAUUAAUUUUAAAAAAUAUAUUUAUUUAUAGAAAACGUGCAAUAAAUAUAUAAAAGAUGGAUGUGAUGAAACAUUAAUUAAAAUGAACUUCCUUUUUCAUAAAAGAAAUUUGAAGAAAAAUUAAUUUCACCACAAAGAAAUAUUUUCAAAGAUUUAGUAAUCAAAACUAUCAUAUUUAAACUCAAUUAUUUUUAUAAUUUAUGUUUAUCCCUACAACAAUUUUUUUUUUUUUUGUAAAUAUUUUACAAUAUAAGUGUACUAUGUAUAUUAUUUACAAAAAAAAAAAAAAAGAAAGAAAAAAUAUUGACACAAAAUAUCAAUCUCUAUUGCAAUCUAAGAAUGCUUAGGUUCCAAAACCUCAAUUUAUUCUUGUUAGCCCAAGGGUUCUCCUAAUCAGGUUUUGAUGAUAACAAACCAUUGUUAAGUUGCUAAUUGGUUUGAAUUAUAAAAAAUUUCAUUUAUUAAUUCGAGAAUUCAUCAAAUGAUCAAAUGGAUGCAAGAUCAAAACCUUUGGAAUACCUUUAAUCAUAGGAAACAUAUAUAAGAUGAAUGAAUGAGUGCACUUAGGUUUUACAUAUCAUUUCAUGCAUCUUUGAAAAACUCAGUUUAUUCUUUAAAGUUACAGUUUCAUCAAAACUCGAGUUUUAUCAAAUGAACGUUAGACAAAUUACUUCAAAAUUGACAUAUUAAUUUACCUAAAGACCUUGCCUAAGUGUUAGAAGAGAAAAUAACAUAAAAAGAUAGGUUUUCAGGCAAAAAAUGGUGAACCGGUUGAGGCAUUGGCCAACAGGCUAGGGGUACCGGUUGACCGGUUCCCUCUUCCCGGUUGACUGGUUCCCUCUUCCCGGUUGAUCGGUUCUUUCUUCCCGGUUGACCGGUUCCCUCUUCCCGGUCGAGGAGCGCAAAAAGCACACUCUCUCUUCCAACAGCCUUUCCUUCUCGGUCGAGGUAUUUGCCUUCCUGGUCGACCUCCGGUCGAGGGUAACAGUCACCUACCAAACAUUAAAUGCUCCAACGACUAAUGAACCAGUCAACCCCAGCUUGACCGAUUGAGGCUACUUUUUGGUUUUCUUGUCUCCCAAUGUUAGAAACCUAUAAAUAGAGAGUUCCACUUCAUUUUUAAGCAAGCGAGCACCUGCAUUUAUUUGUCUACCCACUUGUUCUUGCCUUAAAAGCUCUCAUUCCUUUCUUAGUGCAUUAAAUUCCCAUUUGCAUAUCCUUUAGUGCACCUUUGUGAUUCACCCUACCCUUAAGUUGUAUUUGAGCUAUUGUUGAGAUAGGUUAAGAGAUUCAUUCUUGUUAAUUGAGUGUUAAAGCCUUCAAGUGAGUUGAAACUUGAAGAGAUUGUGUAAGAGCCCAUUGGAGUCAAAAUCCAAGUGUAAAGGUGAUUAGAAGCUUGACUCCACCGAUACACUAUGGGAAGGUUGGCUUACUGAACAGUUACUCGUUCUAGUAAGAUAAUAGAUUGGAAUGCUAACUUUGGCUAUGCCUUUCUAGCUUCAUCAGCUGAUCCUGAAGCCUAUGUUAUAUUGGCUUCAGUGGCAUCCACUGCCUUUGUUCUAUAAAUAAAAUAAAAUAAAUUACAACUGGAAAGUUUAAUUUGUAAUGUGAUUUUUAAAAAUUUAAGUCCAAUAUAUAUUAUUUACUCAUAAUAAUAAUAGUUUUAUAUCUUUAGAAUAAAUCAUUAAUUCCUGAAAAGUGUUUUAAAAUAUUAAAUUUUUUUUUUCAUAAACAAAAUUCACAAUUUUGGUUGUUGAGUGGUCCUAACAUAUUUCUUUUAUUGUUUAUAGUAAGUCUCCAAGACCUUCCUCGGUGACAUGAACUCUUCACCAACCAACCUCAUCUAUGUGGGAGCCAACCAAAAUUGAAAAGAAAAAAAUCUACGAAUUACUUAAUUUAGGAAACUUCCACCAACCAACACUCGUUGAACUCGGACAGCGUAUGUCAUUUGGAUGUUAUUUUAUUUUAUUUUAUUUUUCUUUUUAUUUAAAAAUAAAUAUUUUUAAAUUUCAAAAUAAAUAUAUUUUAUUAGUUUUGUUUUACGCUUCUCAUAGUCUCAAAUAGACUAUUGUGAAAUUUAAAAACAGAAAAAUAUAUGAAUCCAACCAUUUACAAAUUAAAUUCAAUUUUCGUUAUAAAAUGAGAAAUAAAAAUAAAAGCACAAAUAUAUAUUUCUAGGAAGUAGGGUAUUCAAGUUGAGGUUUGUUCGGAAUGCUGCCAAAUAUUUUAACGCAAGAAAAAUGCUUCAGCCAAAACAAUGGUCAAAUGAGGCAGCGCAAGAGAUUUAUCCCUUUUUAAAAAAUCGCAACUGGAGGGUGGAGGCUGAAGGGCGGAUGUCAUACAAAAUUGACUACUUUCUCAGUAAUCCCCUCCACGUGACUCAAAUCAGCACGGAAGUAUUGAACAAGACCCCACCACCAGCUACAAGUGGGUUGGAAGUGGACACAGCAUUUCUGAUACUUAUAAAUACCCAACGCUCACACACUGCUUUGGCAACCCAUCUUCAGGCACCAGUCCGCAUACUCUUCUCUUUUCUUCUACCGCUUUGAAGCUCUGUGGGGGAUUUUACUAGUCAUCAAUGGCAUCUGUGGAGGACAUUAGAAACGCUCAACGUGCCAAGGGGCCGGCCACCAUUCUAGCCAUUGGCACUGCUACUCCAGACAACUGUGUCUACCAGUCCGAUUACGCUGAUUACUAUUUCCGGGUCACUAAAAGCGAGCACAUGACCGACUUGAAGAAGAAGUUCAACCGCAUAUGUAAGUAUAUAUAUUCAUGCAUCAAUUGGAACAUCCAUUACAUACAUAUAUGUAUAAUUAUCAUAAUGCUUUAAGAUUCCCCUGCAAGAAUUGCCAAGUUUUCUUCAAGCUUCCUGUGUGUUGCUUUUCUGUAAACUAAUUAAAUCUGUGAAAAAUGAGGCGCUAUACAUUGAUUUAAUAUUUCGUAAUAGCGCUGCUCUUUCCAAUCCUAUAUAAAUUAAUUGCCCUGCCUAGGAACACAUAGUUAUUGUAAUAAUAAGUAAUAAUCUGUUUUAUAUUUAUGUUGAUCAUCUUGAGUGAUAAUGAAGCUGCCCAUUAUUACUGAAUGAAUUUUGCUUUGCUAGUCCAUUAGCUAAUAUAUUAAAUUCCUUUAACUUAUAUAUAGGUGAGAAAUCAAUGAUCAAAAAGCGAUACAUUCAUUUGACUGAAGAAAUGCUUGAAGAGCACCCAAACAUGGGUGCUUACAUGGCUCCAUCGCUCAACAUACGCCAAGAAAUUAUCACUGCUGAGGUACCUAAGCUUGGUAAGGAGGCCGCAUUGAAGGCUCUUAAAGAGUGGGGCCAGCCUAAGUCCAAGAUCACUCACCUUGUAUUUUGUACAACUUCGGGAGUAGAAAUGCCCGGUGUAGACUAUAAACUAGCCAAUCUUCUAGGCCUCGAAACAUCAGUUAGAAGAGUGAUGUUGUAUCAUCAAGGCUGCUAUGCAGGUGGGACUGUUCUCCGAACUGCUAAGGAUCUCGCAGAGAAUAAUGCAGGAGCACGAGUUCUUGUGGUAUGCUCUGAAAUCACGGUUGUUACUUUUCGUGGGCCUUCUGAAACCCAUUUAGACUCUUUAGUGGGUCAAGCCCUUUUUGGUGAUGGGUCAGCAGCUGUAAUUGUUGGAUCAGAUCCAGAUACCUCCAUUGAACGACCACUCUUCCAACUUGUUUCAGCGGCCCAAACAUUCAUUCCUAAUACACAAGGUGCUAUUGCUGGCAACUUACGUGAAGUGGGUCUAACCUUUCAUUUGUGGCCUAAUGUGCCUACUCUGAUUUCCGAGAAUAUAGAGAAGUGCUUGACUCAAGCUUUUGACCCACUUGGUAUUAGUGAUUGGAACUCCUUGUUUUGGAUCGCUCAUCCAGGUGGCCCGGCCAUUCUGGAUGCAAUCGAAGCAAAACUCAAUUUGGAGAAGAAGAAACUUGAAGCAACAAGACACAUCUUAAGUGAGUACGGUAAUAUGUCAAGUGCAUGCGUGUUGUUUAUUUUGGAUGAGAUGAGAAAGAAAUCACUCAAGGAAGAAAGGACCACCACAGGUGAAGGAUUAGAUUGGGGCGUUUUAUUUGGUUUUGGGCCAGGUCUGACCAUUGAAACUGUUGUGCUGCACAGCGUUGUUGGGGCUACAAAUUGAGUGAAAGGAAAAAAAUCACAAGGGGACAAUUUCCAAUUAAAUCAAAUAGGAGUUAAUAAAGACAUAUGUCUUCUAUUUGUAACAUCUUUUAUUCUUUAUUAAAAUUGAUGUUUGUGGUUCAAAUUAGAGCUUGUUGGAGGGCUUCAUUAGUAACCUCAAGUUAAAAGGGAUGAGACAUCAAGUUCUUACAGUUUCGUUAUCUAGAUGAAAUUCCCUCAAAAGUUGUAUAAACAUCCAUUGUGUUCUUUUAAAGAUCGUUGGAUGUUAAGAAAAGAAUGGAAUAAAAAAGAAAAUUGCAUUUUGCCUUUGUAACUCAACAGCGUGCAUGAUUGAUUUGAUAGUUGUAGUUUCUUGAACAAUAACAAUGCCAUGUGGAUACCAAAAGUUAUACAUCGAUUUGAAAAGGUUCA